rnacentral:lncRNA from 1 species
AUUUUCUUCCAGCUGGCCGAUCUUCCUCUUCGCAGCUGACAGUUCCACCUUAAGGGCGCUGAUCCUGGCUUCUUGAGCCCAAAUACGGUCGCUGGUGCUCUUCUUGCACUCCUCGAGUUCCUUUGCGAAGUUCGCCUUCCUCCGACUGUAAUCCAUGAUCGCCUUCACAUGGAGACUCCGAAAGUGGGCGGCCUCAGCGGCGGCUUCAGAAUGGCCUUCUCUCGAUUUGCGGAGCUCGCCUUCCGUCUUCUUCAACUUCUUCGUCAGGUGAAGGACCUCCUUUUUCAACCGUUGGAUUGUCGAUUUCAGCGGGACCCCUAGGGGCAAGGGGAGUGCUUCUGCAGGGCACUGCCAUCG